GCAAACUUGGUCAUUUAGAGGAAGUAAAAGUCGUAACAAGGUUUCCGUAGGUGAACCUGCGGAAGGAUCAUUAACAAAUCUGGGUGGCGUCCAUACAUUGUCUGUAUGGAUGGCCAUAUUCAUCCAAGCCGGUCCUGUACGGUUGUGCAGCCGGCUCUGGUCUAGUGGCGAGGGCUCGGGGGUUAGUUAGGGUCCUACGGGGGCCCUAUGGUCGUCGAGCCUGACCCACGGUAUAUGCAUGCUUGUAUGGUCUGACAGAGUGACAAUGGUAUAUCAAGUUGACAACUUUUAACAAUGGAUCUCUUGGCUCUUGCAUCGAUGAAGAACGCAGC
rnacentral:misc_RNA from 1 species